CCUGCAACCCGGCUGCGUGAAGCUGGAAUCGCUAGUAAUCGCGGAUCAGAAUGCCGCGGUGAAUACGUUCCCGGGUCUUGUACACACCGCCCGUCACACCAUGGGAGCCGGAAACGCCCGAAGCCNGUGGCCUGACCGCGAGGAGGGAGCUGUCGAAGGCGGGUCCGGUGACCGGGGUGAAGUCGUAACAAGGUAGC
rnacentral:rRNA from 1 species